UUCGCAAUGCCCGAAAGGGUGAACGAGCGACGCCGCGUGCGGGAUGAAGGGUUUCGGCUUGUAAACCGCUUUUCUUUGGGAAGAAGGUCUGUCUCGUGCAGAUGGGCUCGACGGUACCAGAGGAAUAAGCCUCGGCUAACUCCGUGCCAGCAGCCGCGGUAAGACGGAGGAGGCAAGCGUUGUUCGGAAUUAUUGGGCGUAAAGGGCGCGUAGGCGGAUCGGUAAGUCUGGCGUGAAAGCCCCCGGCUCAACCGGGGAAGCGGAGCCGAAACGACCGAUCUGGAGGGACGUAGGGGGACCUGGAACUUCCGGUGGAGCGGUGAAAUGCGUUGAGAUCGGAAGGAACGCCCGUGGCGAAAGCGAGGUCCUGGACGUCUGCUGACGCUGAGACGCGAAAGCUAGGGGAGCAAACGGGAUUAGAUACCCCGGUAGUCCUAGCCGUAAACGAUGGGCACUAAGUAGAGGGGUUUU
rnacentral:rRNA from 1 species